GAUGAACGCUGGCGGCGUGCUUAACACAUGCAAGUCGAACGAAGCGCUUUUAUUUGAUUUCUUCGGAAUGAAGAUUUUAGUGACUGAGUGGCGGACGGGUGAGUAACGCGUGGGUAACCUGCCUCAUACAGGGGGAUAACAGUUAGAAAUGACUGCUAAUACCGCAUAAGACCACAGUACCGCAUGGUACAGGGGUAAAAACUCAGGUGGUAUGAGAUGGACCCGCGUCUGAUUAGGUAGUUGGUGGGGUAACGGCCUACCAAGCCGACGAUCAGUAGACGGCCUGAGAGGGUGCCCGGCCACAUUGGGACUGAGACACGGCCCAAACUCCUACGGGAGGCAGCAGUGGGGAAUAUUGCACAAUGGGGGAAACCCUGAUGCAGCGACGCCGCGUGAGCGAUGAAGUAUUUCGGUAUGUAAAGCUCUAUCAGCAGGGAAGAAAAUGACGGUACCUGACUAAGAAGCACCGGCUAAAUACGUGCCAGCAGCCGCCGUAA
rnacentral:rRNA from 1 species